rnacentral:lncRNA from 1 species
CAAAACAGGAAUGAAUGCUCUAAAGUGGAUUUCUGACCAUCUGUUAAGUCUUUUUUUUCUCACUCAAAAUAUCAAGAAUACUUCAAAAGCCAGAUAAAAUGUUUUUGUUUUUUUUUUUUUUUAAUUUCCAGAUUCACCUUUUGAGAAGUCUGAUUUCCCGAGCAAAAUGAGUCAGCCAGGAUCUUUCUAACUUGAAAAUGUAAUAACCUUUUUUGGUUUGUCUGCACUCUUGUCUCCUCCACUAGAUGGCGAUGUUCUCAAGGGCAGAGAGGACGAUCCGUUUGCCUCUAGGAAGUUCAUUCCUUUUACACACGUAAACAAACAAAACAAAACCUACUAGGCACUAGGACCUUAUGACUAACCACAUGACUCAUUUCCAGCACACGCGUGUGCGCGCGUGCACACACACACAUUUGGGUGGUGUGGGAGGUGCAGUCAGACAGACAGGAAUACACCUGUCUUAGUUGCUUAUCAGGCCUGGGCUGUAGCUCAGUUGGUAGAGUGCUCCCCUAGCUCAACCCCAUAAAGCUGGCAUGGUUACAACACACCUGUCUCAGCACUCAGGACUUGGAGUCAAGAGGAUCAGAAGUUCAAAGCCAUCCCUGACUACAUAUUGGAUUUGAGAUCAAAGUAGAAGAAUAUAUAUUUUCUUCCCCCAAACAGCCAGCAAUCUUACAAACUUCAGGGAAGAGUUCAUUAAAAACGAUUCUAGGCGCUGGUGAGAUGAAUCUGUCAGUGAGUAAGGAUGGUUGCCGCCAAGCUCAAGGACAUGAACUGAAUCCCGGUACCCGCAUGCUGAAAGGAGAAAAAGGGGGUAAGAGGGGAGGAAGAAAGAGAGAGGUCGCGGGAGAAGGCCAAGGAGCAAGCCACAUGCUUCAAA